CCUGAGCAAUCCGUGUGGAGCCAAUGCCUCCUGUAUCCAGCAGGACGGAAGCUUCAGAUGCUCCUGUGGGACUGGCUACACCUGGAAUGGAUCUGUCUGUACAGAUGUGAAUGAAUGUGAAAAUGGAAGCCACGACUGUCACAGCUCGGCCUCCUGUUUCAACAGCCCCGGCUCUUUCCAAUGUGUGUGUGAGGCUGGUUUCACUGGGGAUGGGAGGAACUGUACAGAUGUGAAUGAAUGUGAAAGUGGAAGCCACGACUGUCACAGCUGGGCCUCCUGUUUCAACAGCCCCGGCUCUUUCCAAUGUGUGUGU